GGCGCAGCGCGCGGCGUCAGUCUUGGCUGGGAGACCUGUACUCCGUACUCCGUACUCCGUAGUCGCAGCGGCGCGGUCUUCGGCAGUCUAGUCAUCCACCGCCAUCCUGGGCCCCACAUGUUGCCUGACCAUUCCUGAGCCCAGGUGGGAGCGGUGGCUGAGGUGACGGUCUCAAAGUGGAAGAGCUUACUGUCACAGCAACUCCUUUGCAAGAUGCCCCGGUAAAUCACGUUGCAGAGACCCCAACUCUGCCUUCCUGGAACUAGGCCUGCGUUUUCUCUGAACCAUUAUUUCAUGGGGAAAAUGAAAUCUACUUCAUGUGCCUGGUCUACUUACUCCUUCAGAAGUGAUUUCUGAGCCGCCAGGAAUAGUUGCUGAACACCCCAGGAUGCUGAGGUCCCUCCUUGAGUCUCAUGUUCAAGCAGUCUUCACAUGGCACAAGAGUGCCUGCCAUCCCUCAGUGUUUCUACAGCAGCAAUCCCGAGAUGCUGGAGCUAGAGGGGACCUGACCUGAGAGAAGAUACCUUCAGUGGCUGCCAG
rnacentral:lncRNA from 1 species